GGAGAGGUAUUGAGGUGUUGAGACAGGUCCAAUUCUCUCUUGCCUCUAUUUCCAUUUUCCUAUCAGAACUUCAGGAUGAGAGGUGAAUUUAUAAACAGGACUGCGGCCGUCUAGCCGGAUAACAACACAUAUUGAAAAAGAAAGGAGGCCCUAACAGUCUAAAUCACUGAUCGCCAACCAGUGGGUCAUGACCAACAUGUUUCUCACCAAUCCCCUUGGAUGUUGCACACAGUGGCCUCAAAGGCUGUGGUAGCUCCAGGGUUCCAAAAGGUUUCAAUAGGCGCACUUUUAUGGAUUUCAGAAGAAAGGCAUCAGUAGGCGCAACAUCUGCACUGGGACUGACUGACUUCAUUCGUACAUGACCGCUUAUCUAUCGCCUCUGAAUGUUAUAAUUUCACAUCUUCUGUUUUCUUACAGUAAGCAAAUAAAUGAAACCCCUGUUUAUCAAUAGAGAAACCCUUACUAGUAUGAAAAAUUGGAUUCUCUUGAGUCUUCCAUAUUCAAAUAUAAAUAGAGUUGGGGAGCAACACAUGGAUGAAAAAAGUUCCUGGGGUGCCAAAUAAGGGAUAUGAUUGGCAAUAGGUAGCCCCUAUAUGGACAGGCAGCCUACAGG